AGUAACGCAAAAAUUGUUGAGAAUUCAAUGCCCCAAAAACCUAAGGGUUCCUCCGCAAGGUUUGUCCACGGAGGGUGAGUCAGGGCCUAAGAUCAGGUCAAAAGUCGUAGUCGAUGGACAACAGGUGAAUAUUCCUGUACUGCCCCUUGUUGGUCCCGAGGGACGAAGGAGGCUAGGUUAGCCGAAAUAUCGUUAUCGGUUCAAGAACGUAAGGUGUCCCUGCUUUGUCAAGGUAAGAAGGGGUAGAGAAAAUGCCUCAAGCCAAUGUUCGAAUACCAGGCGCUACGGCGCUGAAGUAACCCAUGCCAUACUCCCAGGAAAAGCUCGAACGACUUUGAGCAAGAAGGUACCUGUACCCGAAACUGACACAGGUCGGUAGGUAGAGAAUACCGAGGAG
rnacentral:rRNA from 1 species